AUACGGAGGGAGCGAGCGUUGUUCGGAUUUACUGGGCGUAAAGAGAGUGUAGGUUGUUUAUUAAGUCGGAUGUGAAAUCCCGGGGCUCAACCUCGGAACUGCAUUCGAUACUGAUAGGCUAGAGUUUGGGAGGGGUAAGCGGAAUUCCGUGUGUAGCAGUGAAAUGCGUAGAUAUACGGAGGAACACCUGAGGCGAAGGCGGCUUACUGGACCAAUACUGACACUGAGACUCGAAAGCGUGGGUAGUAAACAGCAUUAGAAACCCCAGUAGUCC
rnacentral:rRNA from 1 species